rnacentral:rRNA from 1 species
UACGGGGGGGGCAAGCGUUGUUCGGAAUUACUGGGCGUAAAGGGCGCGUAGGCGGUUUGUUAAGUUGGAUGUGAAAACUGUGGGCUUAACCCAUAGCCUGCAUCCAAAACUAGCAGGCUAGAGUUCUGGAGGGGAUAGCGGAAUUCCUGGUGUAGCGGUGAAAUGCGUAGAUAUCAGGAGGAACACCAGCGGCGAAGGCGGCUUACUGGACAGUUACUGACACUCAACUACGAAAGCGUGGGGAGCAAACAGG